rnacentral:ncRNA from 1 species
CUGCGCCUGCGGAGGAUGCAGCACCGUCCAACUUCCCCGGCCUUGCAGGCGGCCGGACGGUGUACCGUCCCGUGAACCGCAAUUUUGCGGAUUCAAAAUCCUUCC